CAGGGGGAUAAGCGGAAGAAAUUCCGUCUAAUACCGCGUAAUAACUCCGAGGGGCAUCUCUUGGGGUUUAAAGGGUAACACCGGCUACGGAUGGCCAUGCGGCGCAUUAGCUAGUUGGCGGGGUAACGGCCCACCAAGGCGACGAUGCGUAGGGGUUCUGAGAGGAAGGUCCCCCACACUGGUACUGAGACACGGACCAGACUCCUACGGGAGGCAGCAGUGAGGAAUAUUGGUCAAUGGGCGCGAGCCUGAACCAGCCAAGUCGCGUGAGGGAAGACGGUCCUAUGGAUUGUAAACCUCUUUUGUCGGGGAGCAAAAGACGCCACGCGUGGCGUUCCGAGAGUACCCGAAGAAAAAGCAUCGGCUAACUCCGUGCCAGCAGCCGCGGUAAUACGGAGGAUGCGAGCGUUAUCCGGAUUUAUUGGGUUUAAAGGGUGCGCAGGCGGAAGAUCAAGUCAGCGGUAAAAUUGAGAGGCUCAACCUCUUCGAGCCGUUGAAACUGGUUUUCUUGAGUGAGCGAGAAGUAUGCGGAAUGCGUGGUGUAGCGGUGAAAUGCAUAGAUAUCACGCAGAACUCCGAUUGCGAAGGCAGCAUACCGGCGCUCAACUGACGCUCAUGCACGAAAGUGUGGGUAUCGAACAGGAUUAGAUACCCUGGUAGUCCACACAGUAAACGAUGAAUACUAAUUGUUCGGGGAGAAUGAUCCCUGAGUGAUACAG
rnacentral:rRNA from 1 species